rnacentral:rRNA from 1 species
GUGCUACAAUGGCCGGUACAGACGGACGCAAAGCCGCGAGGCGGAGCAAAUCCCGAAAAAGCCGGUACUCAGUUCGGAUUGCAGGCUGCAAUUCGCCUGCAUGAAGUCGGAAUCGCUAGUAAUCGCAGGUCAGCAUACUGCGGUGAAUACGUUCCCGGGCCUU